GCUGAAAGCAUCUAAGCGGGAAGCCCCCUUCAAGAUGAGACUUCCCUGAGGCCUUGCGCCUCCUGAAGGGCCCUUGAAGACUACAAGGUUGAUAGGCUGGGUGUGGAAGCACAGCAAUGUGUUGAGCUAACCAGUACUAAUUGCCCGUGAGGCUUGACCAUAUAACACCCAAGGGGUUU
rnacentral:rRNA from 1 species